rnacentral:misc_RNA from 1 species
GGUGAUGUUACGGCCCAAGGAGCUAAACCCAAAAUACCCAGUAAAAAACCAAAACCCCCUCCACCCCAGAGGAAAUCUAGCCUCUCCCAGCCAGAGGAAAAGUCUCAAAUUCCAAAGGCCAAGGAGAAUUCAUAGAAAUACAGUCUUCAUAGUGCAAAAAAAAUCUCAGGCUGCUUCUAGCUUCUACUGGACAUGGGUGCUUUAAUUGUAUGAAUGGUUGUACAUUGUACGACAGUAUUCUUCAUCAAACUAGCCUUCUACUGGAAAGAUGUUUAUGAGAAUUUGCUGUUACAAAAAGAUGAUAGCUUUAAAAGACUUUAUUUGAAAAUUGUUACGGUGAAAAUUGAUUUUCUAUCUACCUCUAAAGGAUUACUAGUGGUGUUCAAAUCUAGUCAACGUCUACAAAUAAACAUGGCGCUGUUGUUAUAAAAGUUUGAUGUGAAUUGUGCAUGCUAUUUAAUCAUCGGAUGAAUGGACCAAUAGUGGAUACUAUGAAAAUUUUGAAAUUUGAUGACAAUAUGAAAAUAAAUUUAAAAAAUUC